rnacentral:rRNA from 1 species
GAACGCGAAGAUCCCGCAAGGGAUUUGUAGAGUGGCAAACGGGUGAGUAACACGUAGGUGACCUGCCUUCGAGUGGGGGAUAACGUUCCGAAAGGGACGCUAAUACCGCAUAACAUCCUGCCUUUGAAGAGGUGGAGAUCAAAGCUGGGGAUCGCAAGACCUAGCACUUGAAGAGGGGCCCGCGUCCGAUUAGCUAGUUGGCGGGGUAAUGGCCCACCAAGACGAUGAUCGGUAUCCGGCCUGAGAGGGCGCACGGACACACUGGAACUGAAACACGGUCCAGACUCCUACGGGAGGCAGCAGUGGGGAAUUUUGCGCAAUGGGGGAAACCCUGACGCAGCAACGCCGCGUGGAGGAUGAAGUCCUUCGGGACGUAAACUCCUUUCGAUCGGGACGAUUAUGACGGUACCGGAAGAAGAAGCCCCGGCUAACUUCGUG